AGGGAAUCUUCCACAAUGGACGCAAGUCUGAUGGAGCAACGCCGCGUGAGUGAAGAAGGUUUUCGGACCGUAAAGCUCUGUUGUUGGUGAAGAAGGAUAGAGGUAGUAACUGGCCUUUAUUUGACGGUAAUCAACCAGAAAGUCACGGCUAACUACGUGCCAGCAGCCGCGGUAAUACGUAGGUGGCAAGCGUUGUCCGGAUUUAUUGGGCGUAAAGCGAGCGCAGGCGGAAGAAUAAGUCUGAUGUGAAAGCCCUCGGCUUAACCGAGGAAUUGCAUCGGAAACUGUUUUUCUUGAGUGCAGAAGAGGAGAGUAGAACUCCAUGUGUAGCGGUGGAAUGCGUAGAUAUAUGGAAGAAUACCAGUGGCGAAGGCGGCUCUCUGGUCUGCAACUGACGCUGAGGCUCGAAAGCAUGGGUAGCGAACAGGAUUAGAUACCCUGGUAGUCCAUGCCGUAAACGAUGAGUGCUAAG
rnacentral:rRNA from 1 species